UACGUAGGGACCAAGCGUUGUUCGGAUUUACUGGGCGUAAAGGGCGCGUAGGCGGCGCGGUAAGUCACUUGUGAAAUCUCUGAGCUUAACUCAGAACGGCCAAGUGAUACUGCCGUGCUCGAGGUCGCGAGGGGGAAGCGGAAUUCCCGGUGUAGUGGUGGAAUGCGUAGAUAUCGGGAGGAACACCAGUGGCGAAGGCGGCUUCCUGGCGCGAUUCUGACGCUGAGGUGCGAAAGCGUGGGGAGCGAUCCGG
rnacentral:rRNA from 1 species